rnacentral:tRNA from 1 species
GGGCGUGUAGCUCAGCGGGAGAGCACUACGUUGACAUCGUAGAGGUCACAGGUUCAAUCCCUGUCACGCCCA